rnacentral:rRNA from 1 species
GACGAACCGUCCAAACGUUAUUCGGAAUCACUGGGCUUAAAGGGCGCGUCGGCGGCCGAGCGGGUCACGGGUGAAAUCCUCCAGCUUAACUGGAGAACUGCCCUUGAUACCACUGCGGCUCGAGGAAGGAAGGGGCAAUCGGAACUGUCGGUGGAGCGGUGAAAUGCGUUGAUAUCGACAGGAACGCCGGUGGCGAAAGCGGAUUGCUGGUCCUUUUCUGACGCUGAGGCGCGAAAGCCAGGGGAGCAAACGGG